rnacentral:rRNA from 1 species
GACGAACGCUGGCGGCGUGCUUAACACAUGCAAGUCGAACGGUGAAGCACCUUCCUUUUGGUGGGUGUGGAUGAGCGGCGAACGGGUGAGUAGCACGUGAGUAACCUGCCCCCUUCUUCUGGAUAACCGCAUGAAAGUGUGGCUAAUACGGGAUAUUCUGGGUCUGUCGCAUGGCGGGCCUGGGAAAGAUAUUGUUUCGGUGGGGGAUGGGCUCGCGGUCUAUCAGCUUGUUGGUGGGGUGAUGGCCUACCAAGGCGGUGACGGGUAGCCGGCCUGAGAGGGUGGACGGUCACACUGGGACUGAGACACGGCCCAGACUCCUACGGGAGGCAGCAGUGGGGAAUAUUGCACAAUGGGCGCAAGCCUGAUGCAGCGACGCCGCGUGAGGGAUGGAGGCCUUCGGGUUGUAAACCUCUUUCGCCAGUGAAGCAGGCCUGUCCCUUUUGUGGGUGGGUUGACGGUAGCUGGAUAAGAAGCGCCGGCUAACUACGUG